GGGUCAGUAGGUUGGUCGUGCCACCGGUACGUACUGGUCUCACUGAUUCCUCCUUCCUGAAGAACCGUAAUGCCAUUAAUUUGGUGCUGCGGGGAAACAGGACUGUUACUUUGAAGAAAUUAGAGUGUUUAAAGCAAGCUAACGCUUGAAUACAUUAGCAUGGAAUAAUGAAAUAGGACGAUCGAUCCUAUUUUGUUGGUUUCUAGGAUUGACGUA
rnacentral:rRNA from 1 species